UACGAAGGGGGCUAGCGUUGCUCGGAAUGACUGGGCGUAAAGGGCGCGUAGGCGGCGCCACAAGUCACCUGUGAAAACUCUGGGCUCAACCCAGAGCCUGCAGGCGAAACUGUGGUGCUGGAGUAUGGGAGAGGUGCGUGGAAUUCUCGGUGUAGCGGUGAAGUGCGUAGAUAUCGGGAGGAACACCUGUGGCGAAAGCGGCGCACUGGACCAUAACUGACGCUGAGGCGCGAAAGCUAGGGGAGCAAACAGG
rnacentral:rRNA from 1 species